CUACAUGCACUGAUAGUCCUUCAACCAUUUGUGGUUGUUCUUCUGUCUGUACUAGGAUAUAACAGAAAAGCAUAGGAUAUAACAGGAGCAUCACCCUGCCUCUGUGGCGGCCAAACUGAAUUGGGGUGUACAUCU